ACGUGCUGGCUCGGCUCCUGGACGGCCCGUGUGGCAGGCUGACGACAGAACUCCCCGCGGCCCCUGAGGAAGCAGCAGGAGUUGAAAUCCACACGCUGCUUGGGAACGCUACCCUAGUUUUUUACAGCUUGCUUGAAAGUAUAAGUGGUAAUGACAAGAUGCUGCUCCAGCCGCAGGACGUGACGUCAGAUCAAGGAGGAGCUGCGGCGCCAGCCCUGGGAAAAGGUGUUGUCCUGGGUGGAGCAGAGUAAGUGGUUGGGGGGCGUCAUCCCAGUUCCCGAGCUCCCUGUUGCGAGGCACACAGUUCAGCUCUCCAGUGCUCCGUGGGACCAGGAGCCUCGCUGCUUACCCAGAUCUUUCUCCCCUUUGUUUCAGCCCGUUGGCUCUGGACCAGCACCCUGUAGGAGGAGGGCACAGCUCCCAUGCUGUCCCGCUAACCCAAGGCUGGCUGAUGAGCGCAGGAGGGGAGCUGAGUCCCAGGUCCGAGCCUGGCAGUGCCGGGGCCAAGAGGAGAGCCCCCAGGGUCCUGUUUACUCAGCAGGACGAGCAGCACAACAGACAGGUGCUGAACCAAGGCGUAUGCAGAGGCCAGGUGCCGUGGGGCCUGUACCAGGUAGGUGAGCCUGCUCUGAGACACCAGCCAAGACUGGAGGAAUGGCUGGAAUCACCUGCUGGCAAUGGAAGCUACCAGUGGACACCUCCCCUGAUGUCCCUCUGCUUCCUGCACUGGCACUGAGCUGCUCUCGCUCACGGCCUCUAGCCAUUGGCAAUGGGAGGGGCAUUUUCCCUUCAUCUGGGAGAUGGGGUGGGCAGAGAUGCCCACCAUUUAAAUGGUGGGGAAGAGGAAUGUCAAACUGCUCACACUCAGAUCUGAGCAUGAUAAUCUCUCCGGGCAGCUCCCACCCAGCUCCUUGGGUCAAUGGCCUUGAACCAAACAGCAGAUGAGUGAGUGGGGCCCAUCAGCUCAGAUAGGCCAGUCUAGAAUGUGUCUCGCCCUUUCUUCGGAGCAUCUCCAAAUACCUCCCAAAUCCUCACACCUCCAGGGAGACAGAU
rnacentral:lncRNA from 1 species